GGGUUGUGAGGUUAAGCGACUAAGCGUACACGGUGGAUGCCCUGGCAGUCAGAGGCGAUGAAGGGCGUGCUAAUCUGCGAUAAGCGCCGGUAAGGUGAUAUGAACCGUUAUAACCGGCGAUACCCGAAUGGGGAAACCCAGUGUGAUUCGUCACACUAUCAUUAACUGAAUCCAUAGGUUAAUGAGGCGAACCGGGGGAACUGAAACAUCUAAGUACCCCGAGGAAAAGAAAUCAACCGAGAUUCCCCCAGUAGCGGCGAGCGAACGGGGAGGAGCCCAGAGCCUGAAUCAGCAUGUGUGUUAGUGGAAGCGUCUGGAAAGGCGCGCGAUACAGGGUGACAGCCCCGUACACAAAAGCGCAUGUGCUGUGAGCUCGAUGAGUAGGGCGGGACACGUGGUAUCCUGUCUGAAUAUGGGGGGACCAUCCUCCAAGGCUAAAUACUCCUGACUGACCGAUAGUGAACCAGUACCGUGAGGGAAAGGCGAAAAGAACCCCGGCGAGGGGAGUGAAAAAGAACCUGAAACCGUGUACGUACAAGCAGUGGGAGCACCCUUUGGGGUGUGACUGCGUACCUUUUGUAUAAUGGGUCAGCGACUUAUAUUCUGUAGCAAGGUUAACCGAAUAGGGGAGCCGGAGGGAAACCGAGUCUUAAUUGGGCGUUAAGUUGCAGGGUAUAGACCCGAAACCCGGUGAUCUAGCCAUGGGCAGGUUGAAGGUUGGGUAACACUAACUGGAGGACCGAACCGACUAAUGUUGAAAAAUUAGCGGAUGACCUGUGGCUGGGGGUGAAAGGCCAAUCAAACCGGGAGAUAGCUGGUUCUCCCCGAAAGCUAUUUAGGUAGCGCCUCGUGAAUUCAUCUCCGGGGGUAGAGCACUGUUUCGGCUAGGGGGUCAUCCCGACUUACCAACCCGAUGCAAACUGCGAAUACCGGAGAAUGUUAUCACGGGAGACAC
rnacentral:rRNA from 1 species